AAAAUUGGAAUAACUGCUUAAAAUUACUUUCCGCUUUAAGAUGGAAAUGUAUUUUGAUUGCGUUUAUUUUAGUGUGCUCUACGGAUGUUUUAGACGUUUUCCAACACAAAUAGGUUUCAACGAUUUUUAUAAGCCAUUUGGAAUUAAAUUAUAAAGCUUUAUUUUAGAUGUUAAAAUUACAAUUGAUCAUAGUUUAUUUUAACCACUUCCAAUCGACAAUUGAAAUAUCUUUUUUCAACGACUGACCUUCGGAAACUGGAAAAAUUGCUUGCGUAUAGUAUUAGCAAUGUUAAGAAGUUGAAUUUUUUUCAUUUCAAGAGACACACAAAUUUUGUAAAAUGGAUCCGCGAACAGCAGUUGAAAAGCAAGAAGACGUCGCGAGAAGAAACGCACCCAAUGAAAUUUUUAACGAGACCGACGAGUCUACCGGCAAAUCCGUUAGAAUCCGAAGCAUUGUGCACCAAGAGUGAGCUAGUGGCGGAAUUGGGUAAGGCAACUUUAAUGACAGAAUUGAGCACAAGAUGCCGUUUAUAAGUAGCAAGAAUCAAAAGGCUCGUUUAAAAUUUUCCAAGGAGCAUGUGAGGAAGGAUGAUAAAAUUUGUUGCUUGCAUGGAGCCGCAUAUGUCUGGCGGAAGCCAAAUACCGAGCUCCAAAACAUUGAUUUAAAUCCUACAGUCAAGCAUAGCGGUGGCAGUGGCAUGGUCUUGUAUAUCCACAGACGGAGUCGGAAAGCUGCAUUUUAUUGAACCACAAUAGACACGACUCACUAUCUGGCGGUACUGAAAGCCAAUUACCUCCAAAGUAAGGAUAAACUGGGCAUUAGGGACGAUUUCCGCUUCUACCAAUUUGGAAUUGUCAUCAUGUCCUGCAACCACCAGGUCAGUCAACUGACAUUAAUGUUAUUGAGAAUUUGUUGGCCAUUCAGGACUACAAUAUUUAUGUAUAUAAUAGCUCUGGUAUGGCAACAACAUGGGUAGAAUCAAAAUUCCACAUCGUCUUGGAAUAUUCAACAAAAGGAAGGUCUUACGAAGUAUUAAAUACAUUGUUUAACAUAUUUAUACUUAAAUAAGCUGUGGUAUUUUUUUGUUAUUUUGUUUGUUUUUCAAUUAUUGUAUUAAGUUAACAAAAA